UCCACAAAAGCAUCACGCCUUCGCCAACCUUAUCUACAACAUCCAUCCUCUCCUAUCCUCUUCAUCGCUUCUCCCUUCGUCGCCUCCUACAGCAUCAGUAACCUGCCUCCGCAAGAUCGCCGUCGCCACCUUGUUCUCUUCACCGCUACACGCGCAGGUCCUAAUAUCUUCGACUAAUCCACAGGCAUUGCUGCUCCGUUGUGCAGUGCUGGUGCCGUCAUCAAUCGCACACGGAUCAAGGUGGACUGCUGCUGCCGGUUGCGACAGGAGAGAAGAAAAAAUCUGCCCUCUGCUGCUAUAUGUGGAGCAAAUUUGUGAAUUCCACUACGGAGAAGUUUAGGCUUGUGAUCAACCAGUCAGUUGGAUCCUGUAGAGAGAAGUUAAUACCCG